CCUAAAGAAGUAGGCAACCGUGACCGUCAGGGAAAGAAAGACGUGAGCUCGCAGCCCGUGCUGUUGCUAAGGUGCACCCACUCACUGACCAACUUCUCAGAGCACGGGCUCGCGCUAACUUGCUAACGUGGCCUGGUUCUGUGGGGAAGGAGGGGGUGGGGGGAGGAGGCAGAGAGCUUUGUUUUUGGAGAGCUUCCUCCAGGCCCCAGACCUCCUCUGGCCCGGAAGGCAAUGGCCAGGCGCCAGGACUGCCCCGCCACGGCAGAGACUGGCGGAAUAUACCCACUUUCAUGACUCCAAGUCUGAGGCUCUGCGGACCCCCUUCACGGCCGUGGCUGGGAAAGCAGACACUGCCUGGUAUGUGGACGAUCCGGCCAAUCCCUCCAUGAGAAUCAUAUAUGCACCUGGACCCACGUGCUUCAAGUACGACAUACUUGACAUCGCCACUGGGCUAAUGGCCAUCGCAAACCUGUCCAGAGAGAAGCCAUCGGCAAGUCUUGUUGGUUCUACCUCUAAAAUCUUUUCAGUCAGCCCAUUCGUCUCCUGCCACCACCCAGGACCAAGUCUCCACCGCCAUCUCCCAGGAUUGUUGUUAGUCUCCUAAUUGUCUCCCACUCCCACGCUUGCCACGUUCCAGAUGAUCCUCCACAUGGCAGGAAUGGUGCUCCCGACAAAAUGCCAAUCGAGUCACAUCCCUCUCCUUCUCAGAACAUCUUCCAUUCUUCCCGCUGCAUUUGAAAUAAAGUCCAAAAGCAUCACCA